CUCCCUGCAAAAUUGUGAAGGAAGAUGCUUUCCUGCUUAGUCCAAAAGCUGCCUGUACCUAGUGUGAUGGAGAAAACUAAAGGAACAAAGAGGAGGCACAUGAAAAAAUCAUAAUGGAAGCAGACCAUCACAGAUACAGCCAAGACAUAAAUUGGAAAUUUGCACCAACAUCAGAUUACACAGAGACAGCACUUUGAUAUCACCUGAAUUAUCAUGGCUGCAUCAUACAGGAUCUUGGGAUCUGUAGCUUGGCGAGCUCUCAGACCUCUCUGGCAAUAAAUUCUAAAUGAUGC